rnacentral:rRNA from 1 species
UACGUAGGGGCCAAGCGUUGUCCGGAAUUAUUGGGCGUAAAGAGCUCGUAGGCGGCCCAUCAAGUCGGAUGUGAAAUCUCAAGGCUCAACCUUGAAAUUGCAUCCGAUACUGGCGGGCUUGAGGCAGGUAGGGGAAAGCGGAAUUCCUGGUGUAGCGGUGAAAUGCGCAGAUAUCAGGAGGAACACCGGUGGCGAAGGCGGCUUUCUGGGCCUGUACUGACGCUGAGGAGCGAAAGCGUGGGGAGCAAACAGGAUUAGAAACCCUCGUAGUCC